rnacentral:rRNA from 1 species
UGGGGGGUCCACCCUCCAAGGCUAAGUACUACUUGACGACCGAUAGUUAACCAGUAAGGCGACUGAAUGAUGAAAACUACCCCUGCUAGGGGUGUGAAAGAGUAGCUGAAACCAUGUGCUUACACAGCGGUCAGAGCCCUUCGGGGUGAUGGCGUGCCUUUUGCAUAAUGACCCGGCGAGUUACUCUCAUUGGCGAGGUUAAGGCCUAGCGGGCCGAAGCCGAAGCGAAAGCGAGUCUGAAAUAGGCGUUGAGUCGAUGGGAGUAGACGCGAAACCUUGUGAUCUACCCAUGGGCAGG